CUGCAGAGGAAUUUUAGCCAGAAUUGUGCCAAAAAGCCUGUGUGGUACCCACAGGUGUUUUUGGGAAGCAGUGGGGCCACCCUGGGAUAUCUCGGAUGCCCCACUGGCUGCCACUCCAGGACAGACCUGAUGGCAGCAGUGCAGGGCAGAGAAUGAGAAGCAAUCCAGAAAAUCAGAUCCAUCCUUAAAAAACCCAGCCCAAACCCUGCCCCAGCGUUUCUCUGCCCUUUGCCUGGGGCUGCCAGCAUCGGGAACACGGGGCUGGGAAGGAGCUGGUGAGUUUUGGGCACAGGCCUUGGCCCAGGGGACGCUCAGGGGUUCAGGAAGGGACACGGAGCAGCAAUGUGGGUGAGAAAAAGGAUGAGCUGGUGAUGCUGAAUUUGAUGCAUUUCAAGAUUACCCUAUGGACCUCCUGGCAGGCAGGUUGAUGGUUUGAGAUGUGCUUGAGGCUCCUCCCCGCAGCUAAAGCCAUUUCCUCAUCAUCCUCUGGGCCCAGUGCUCUUCAUGAUUGAAGAAAAUAAGCCAAGAAUGCUUAGAGAGACCUAAAAAUGGGAGAAAAUCUGGGGAAAAGAUGCUCAGGUGAGGACAGAAAAGGCAUCUCCACCCCGUGCUGGCUCUCCGGCGCUUUUAUGUAACGGAGCACGUGGCUCUCCACGUUCCUUGUGGGGCUGGACACGGGUUCUCUGACUGCCAGGCUGGAGCAUCUCCCUCAAAUGAUGUCAAUCUUCACUGCACUAGCAUUACAGCAUCAUAAAAAAUUACAGAGCUGCUAUUUUGGGUAGCAGCUCUCUCCGAGUCAGUGAAUAAAUGCAGCUCCAUAUGACUCACUCCGGGGGAUUAUUAAUAGACACAAAAGCAGAAUGCCAAAACCCCAGGAAUAUGCUCUGUUCCCACACUGAGCUUUCUAGCUUCUCACAGCAACUGCUCUUGAGAACUUUUUGUCUCAGAAAUUAAUAUACAGACAUAUUAGAAGAAUUAAAUUUAUAAAUUUUCUGUUGAACUCGCACCUCGAAGGCUUUAGCAGGGGCUGUUCUGCAGGGAUGAAGGAUGGUUGCUCCAGGGCCAGGCUCCAUCUGGGAUGGCAGAGCAGUGGGAGAAAGGGAGUCAUUUCAAGAGGGAAGAAUCACAGGCUUCUCCUUUUGCUGCCAUGGGUGUCCACGAUGCUGGUGUUGGAGUUGGCUUCUUAUGAAGGAGGUUCACAGUCCCACAUGUGUUGAUGAUGAAGAUGAUGAUCCUGAGGAUGGUGAUGGUGACUCUCCCAUCUUCAAACUCAAAACCUGGUAAAACCGAAAUAGCUGAGAACAGAAUAUUUAUCUCCAGGCCCAUUCCCAUGUGAUGACAGCGAUGUCUUCGGAGUUCAAACGCGUCUCCCUGGUGCUUCACGGACCACUUCGCUCCCGUCUCAUCAUCCAGAGUUUAAAUCCUCUUGUCCUCUGGGGCCACUCAUCAGCCUGGCUGUUCUUACACCAAGAAAGAGGCACACCACAAACAAUCCUGGGAUUGUUAAAGCGCUGCUGCUCCUGCUGUUUACAAGGGCAGGGAGAGGUGAGCCAGCCUGGAGCUGUGUGGCCCAUCCGUGGCCACCAAGGGCUUGUGGCAGGGGAGGACUCAGAGAUCCUGCCGGAUCCUGGCAGGGAGACCUAAUUCAAAAGAACCAAACCUCUGACUGAAUGCAAGGGAAGAAAUCAAUGUUAAUUGGAAGGGGCUGGGAGGGGGCACAGGUGAAGUGGAACUCCCAGUAAUUAAACAAGAGAUACAACACAGCCCAAGGCUGAGCCUGGGGUCAGCAGCAGCUCCCCAGUUCCCCUCCCAGUGAUGGGACAGGCUCCAAGGAGGAAAACCAGCACCACUCCAAGGGCUCUAGACAAAGGAGAAAGCACUUCAAGGGAAGAAGGUUGAUUGCAAAACCCCUUCAACCACAAUUUUCUCCAAGAUCUCAGAAUGAUCUCAGAUUCCUGAUGUGGAGCUCAGGAAAUACUGCAUCAACCUCCUAAAGAGAAGCUUGGGCCACAAAUCACUGCCCUGGCACUUUGAGAUGAGCCUUGAAAUCCCAUUUACAGCCAAGCACAGCAUACCAGAUAGGAGCAAGCUCUCCUUCUCUUCCCAGCCUCCUCUAUUCCACACUGCUGAAUGUAUUUGAGCAGAGCAAAGCACUGGGGAGGCAGAGCCCCAAGGAGAGAUGUAUUUUCAGCCAGAGUAAUCUGCUUGUAUUAUUACAGACCUUCAGCUGCCACAUAUAUUUAGACUUCUAACAAACUCUGCCAGGAUUUUGCAAAGGUGGAAGAAUCCCAGCAGGUUCCAAACCUCCUGCCCACCCUAGUGCCUCCCAGCCAGCAGCACCACAGCCUACCCAGGCCUUCACAAAUAUUACCAUCUACAGGUCCAGCAGGGAGGCUGGAACUCAUCCAGAAGUCUAAAGCACCUGCUGCUGGUUGGAACACAAGCACAGGUAAGGUGGGAAUUGCUUCUCCUCUCUCACAAAACGUCCACCGAAGUGCAGGUCUCCAGUACCACCAGCAGCAGCAAGGAAAAUAUUAAAUACAGGAAUUAUUAAAACUAAGAGGCAGCUGAAAGACCACAACGGGUCAAACACAGUGUUUGUGUGGGACAUUUACACACAAGAUGUUCAGCACCUGGACAAGGAAACAUUUCAAAACAACAGACCCAACCCCAUCACUCCUGCACUACUGUGAAAGCUUUCCAAAGUGCUUUGCAGAGAAGGGUUUGUGGGAACAAGCCCCAGGACUCUUUAUUAAUUAAAGUGCUUUAAAUAAUUGAAAUACACAGUCUCUCGACUCUCCUAAGCAUAGUCACCUGCUCAAGAGCUGCCAUAAAUUAUGGAAAAAAAUCAUAUCCAGGAGGAGAGAGAUCUCACCUUGAGGAAUUCAUCACAAAACCCAACGUCUCUGUAGCACUGAGAGAUGCCACAGCCCCAGAACAGCGAUGUGACGGGAGCAAGGCAGAGAAACUUUGUCUCCAGGGAGGCCAGGAUGCUUGGGAAGGGCUGCCUGGCCAAUGCAGCUGCUCAAAUGAGCCGGGAUUUAGGGAAAUCAGAACUGGCUGGUGGUUUUUGACCAUUAAUGGGAUACAGCUGAACAUGCUGGACCCUGACACUGAGGUUUUACAGGGAAAGCUGUUGAAGCUCUUGGAUUGUCUGAAUCCUGGAACACAGCAACCACAGGGCUCAGACUGAGGCAGCCAGGGGCCUGGGCAGCCUGCAGAGCUGAGAAACAGCUUCUGCCUUUAGGGAACAGGCUGAUGUGCAGCCUCACAGCUGCUGCUUGGAAAGCUGCUCCUGCUGGAGCAGCCCUUCAGGACAACUGCCAGGUCUGUCCCCACUGCUCAUCCCCAAAAGCCAAAGGUAAAUCCAGUGCAGGGAUGGCAGCAGAGGGAGCUGGGCUUUCUGGAGAUAGCCCAGGUACAGCACAGUACUUAUGGGGAAUGAAAUCUUCUGAUGUGGACUGUCCAGCCCCAUUCAGAGCCAACAUUCAGGGAAACCUCUUUAGUCAAGAAAUUCAGCAGUAACUUAGAGAUUUGCAGAGCUCACAGAUGAUCUCUGAGGGGCUUAGAUCCUUUAGAGGGAUCUGAUUUUCAGAAAGCCCAGUGAAAAAUGGCCAAUAUUUGGGCUGAGUGCCCCACUCAAGUGUCAGCCACAUCCUAGGAGAUGCUGUUAAUGCACCCUCAGUCCUGUCCACACCCAUCCCACAAAUGAAAUCAACACAGUGACAGCAAACUACACUGACAAAGCUUCUCCACUGGGUGCAGCGCAAACCCUGCCCUCAUAUGGCAUCAAAGCUGGAAGAAGUAUCAGCACAGGUAACAAUCUUCUUUGAAAUAAUAAAUACAAAAACUGUAUUUUUUCCUUUUUUUUAACUCAUGACAGCAUUUGAUAAAAAUAUUACAUCUGCUUUUGAGAAGGUAAUAUCCUCUCCAUUUAAUAUGGAAAAAUAAACUCUACAGGACACACAACACAUCCCCCCAGUUGGCACAGAGCUGCUUUAAGAGACCAGAUCCACAAGACACAUCAAGGCAGAAGAGAGGUUUGGUCUUCCUUGUCCCCAUACUCUUAAAACAUUGUGUUGUAGGAAUGGUAAAAGACAAGAAUACAUAAAAACAGUAAAAUGUUUAUUUUCUUAGAAAAAAAGAGAUUCAAAAUGAUUGUGAUCACACUCCCAUUCGUGCUCAGCAAAGCCAAUACUGCAAGCUUAGUCCUUGAUUAAGAUACCUUUUAAAUGAAACUUUUUUUCCUCUUAAAAUACAAGUUCCUGCUCCUGUAUCACUUCCAGUAUUUCAGUGAUAACAUGCUUUUAAUGGAUAACAGUUUCUCAGCUUCUUCCCAGCUGAGAAACAAGGCCUGCCAUGGCAAAAACAUCCCAUCUCCAAAGCCUGGAAUCACCAGCACUAACAAGCACUCUGGCCCCAACACGGACGGACACACAGCUCAGGGGUGUUUCUUAGAUGUUGGAUGUUCACUUAUGGAAGCUUGGUGUAACACUACCUCAUCUGAUAGAAAACGGGCCAGAAGCCUCAAUAAAAUCAACAACGUCUUUUGGAUUAACUUUUAAGGAUUUGCUGCGUAUCUGGACACAGAAAAAAGUGAGAA